CCUACGGGAGGCAGCAGUGAGGAAUAUUGGUCAAUGGACGAGAGUCUGAACCAGCCAAGUAGCGUGAAGGAUGACUGCCCUAUGGGUUGUAAACUUCUUUUAUAAAGGAAUAAAACGAGGCACGUGUGCCUUUUUGCAUGUACUUUAUGAAUAAGGAUCGGCUAACUCCGUGCCAGCAGCCGCGGUAAUACGGAGGAUCCGAGCGUUAUCCGGAUUUAUUGGGUUUAAAGGGGGCGUAGAUGGGUUGUUAAGUCAGUUGUGAAAGUUUGCGGCGCAACCGUGAAAUUGCCAUUGAUACUGGGAGUCUUGAGUGCAGGAGAGGUAGGCGGAAUUCGUGGUGUAGCGGUGAAAUGCUUAGAUAUCACGAAGAACCCCGAUUGCGAAGGCAGCUUACUAAACUGUAACUGACGUUGAGGCCCGAAAGCGUGGGUAUCAAACAGGAUUAGAUACCCCUGUAGUC
rnacentral:rRNA from 1 species